rnacentral:rRNA from 1 species
CCUACGGGAGGCAGCAGCGAGGAAUCUUGCACAAUGGGCGAAAGCCUGAUGCAGCAACGCCGCGUGGGUGACGAAGGCCUUCGGGUCGUAAAUCCCUUUUGCCGGGGAAGAAGUUCUGACGGUACCCGGCGAAUAAGCCACGGCUAACUACGUGCCAGCAGCCGCGGUAAUACGUAGGUGGCAAGCGUUAUCCGGAUUUACUGGGCGUAAAGCGUACGUAGGCGGUUCGUUAAGUCCGUUGUGAAAUCUCCCGGCUCAACUGGGAGCGGUCAAUGGAAACUGCCGAACUGGAGGGGCGUAGAGGCGAGCGGAAUUCCCGGUGUAGUGGUGAAAUGCGUAGAUAUCGGGAGGAACACCAGUGGCGAAAGCGGCUCGCUAGGCGCAACCUGACGCUAAGGUACGAAAGCAUGGGGAGCGAACCGGAUUAGAUACCCGGGUAGUCCAUGCCGUAAACGAUGAAUGCUAGACGUGGGGGGUAUCGACCCCCUCCGUGUCGCCGCUAACGCAUUAAGCAUUCCGCCUGGGGAGUACGGCCGCAAGGCUAAAACUCAAAGGAAUUGACGG